rnacentral:rRNA from 1 species
UACGGGGGGGGCAAGCGUUGUUCGGAAUUACUGGGCGUAAAGGGCUCGUAGGCGGCCAACUAAGUCAGACGUGAAAUCCCUCGGCUUAACCGGGGAACUGCGUCUGAUACUGGAUGGCUUGAGAUUGGGAGAGGGAUGCGGAAUUCCAGGUGUAGCGGUGAAAUGCGUAGAUAUCUGGAGGAACAUCAGUGGCGAAAGCGACUUCCUGGACCAAUACUGACGCUCAUGUGCGAAAGCGUGGGGAGCAAACAGG